rnacentral:rRNA from 1 species
GAUGAACGCUGGCGGCGUGCCUAAUACAUGCAAGUCGAGCGAACGGACGAGAAGCUUGCUUCUCUGAUGUUAGCGGCGGACGGGUGAGUAACACGUGGAUAACCUACCUAUAAGACUGGGAUAACUUCGGGAAACCGGAGCUAAUACCGGAUGAUAUUUUGAACCGCAUGGUUCAAAAGUGAAAGACGGUCUUGCUGUCACUUAUAGAUGGAUCCGCGCUGCAUUAGCUAGUUGGUAAGGUAACGGCUUACCAAGGCAACGAUGCAUAGCCGACCUGAGAGGGUGCGGCCACACAGGGGAUACGACAACGGGGCGACUCCGAUACGGGGCAGACGCAUAGGGUAGUCAGCAGUGGGGGAAAAAGCAAGAGGGAGCCACGCCGGGGGCGAGGAGGGGGUUUGGGGAUUGAAAACCUUUGUUUUGGGAACAACAUAUGUGUGAGACUAAGUGUGCAUAUCGAGGCGCCACAAAAAGAGACACCCGCGGAUUACGAC